AGCAGCCGCGGUAAUUCCAGCUCCAAUAGCGUAUAUUAAAGUUGUUGCAGUUAAAAAGCUCGUAGUUGAAUUUCGGGGUCAGUAGGUUGGUCAUGCCACUGGUAUGUACUGGUCUCACUGAUUCCUCCUUCCUGAUGAACUGUAAUGCCAUUAAUUUGGUGUUGCAGGGAAUCUGGACUGUUACUUUGAAAAAAUUAGAGUGUUUAAAGCAGGCUAACGCCUGAAUACAUUAGCAUGGAAUAAUGAAAUAGGACGUUCGAUCCUAUUUUGUUGGUUUCUAGGAUUGACGUAAUGAUUAAUAGGGAUAGUUGGGGGCAUUAGUAUUCAAUUGUCAGAGGUGAAAUUCUUGGAUUUAUUGAAGACUAACUACUGCGAAAGCAUUUGCCAAGGAUGUUUUCAUUAAUCAAGAACGAAAGUUAGGGGAUCGAAGACGAUCAGAUACCGUCGUAGUCUUAACCAUAAACUAUNCCGACUAGGAUCGGAUGAUGUUAAUUUUUAAUGACUCAUUC
rnacentral:rRNA from 1 species